rnacentral:ncRNA from 1 species
CGGGGACUGCAGGCGCCCCGUCAGACGUCCUUUCGUCCAAGCACUGC